rnacentral:rRNA from 1 species
CCCUUAGAUGUUCUGGGCUGCACGCGCGCUACACUGACGCACGCAACAGGUGCCUGCCCCGAGAGGACUGGGUAAUCAUUUGAGUGUGCGUCGUGAUGGGGAUAGAAUAUUGUAAUUAUUACUCUUCAACGAGGAAUUCCUAGUAAGCGCCAGUCAGCAGCUUGCGCUGAUUACGUCCCUGCCCUUUGUACACACCGCCCGUCGCUCCUACCGAUGGGUGAUCCGGUGAAUGAUUCGGACUUCAGCGGCUCCCCUGGGGUGCGCCGGAGAAAGUUUUGUGAACCUUAUCACUUGGAGGAAGGAGAAGUCGUAACA